rnacentral:rRNA from 1 species
GACGAACGCUGGCGGCGUGCCUAACACAUGCAAGUCGAACGGAGAAUUUUAUUUCGGUAGAAUUCUUAGUGGCGAACGGGUGAGUAACGCGUAGGCAACCUACCCUUUAGACGGGGACAACAUUCCGAAAGGAGUGCUAAUACCGGAUGUGAUCAUCUUGCCGCAUGGCAGGAUGAAGAAAGAUGGCCUCUACAAGUAAGCUAUCGCUAAAGGAUGGGCCUGCGUCUGAUUAGCUAGUUGGUAGUGUAACGGACUACCAAGGCGAUGAUCAGUAGCCGGUCUGAGAGGAUGAACGGCCACAUUGGGACUGAGACACGGCCCAAACUCCUACGGGAGGCAGCAGUGGGGAAUCUUCCGCAAUGGACGAAAGUCUGACGGAGCAACGCCGCGUGAGUGAUGAAGGAUUUCGGUCUGUAAAGCUCUGUUGUUUAUGACGAACGUGCAGUGUGUGAACAAUGCAUUGCAAUGACGGUAGU